rnacentral:lncRNA from 1 species
UAGCACCUCUUCUUCGGAGCUCGUGGUCGGAAACUCCACCGAUGUAGCCACUUCCUCGCAUUUGCCAUCGGCUUACCUUCAAGAACUGGCCAGGACUCUGAACCGGGACGCGGUGAAGGUCGUUGUGGCUCGAGUGCGCGGAAGAGGCCAUUGAAGACCGUGGAAUUGCUCGCUAGAAUACGUUCUCCACCGUGGUGCUACUCAUCUCUAUGGGUUCGGGUCUACGCUACCUAGCGACCGGUGAGUCAAACUUCAUCAUACUUGUCAUGUCCUCCGCAUAGUUUAGCAACGUCGAGGCUAGAAUUGGGGCGUAGGAACCUUCGUGUCGUGGCACCGGUGAACCUCGUCGCCGUCGGCAGGGUCCUGCUGCUCGGUUCCUAUAGUGAGGCUGGAGAUGACAACCUGGCCGUCGGUCCCUGGAUGAACAACUUGGAUUAGAAUGGGGCCAUACCGGUUCGAUCAGGUAGAUCCAGACCGUCGAUAUCUGAUCGGGCGUGAUCAGGGUGAGGAGGGUUAUCUGGUUGUGGAUCUUGGAUCCUGCGAGUGAGAACGAAUGUGGGUUCAUCCAUGAUGAGAAUUAAUCGGUAUUGUUGAUCUCGGAUCGCACAGUUGUAGUCGCAUACCGAUUCGUUUAAAGCUUGUUCUAAUCUGGACCACUCAGAUCUAAUCAUGCGGCCAAGCAAAGACGAUACCCCUUUAGCCGGGUGUUUUCUUAAAGAGACCCUCGACUUUAAUCUAUUUAACCCACAGUCUAUCCUUAGUCAAAACUAAUUACAUACAGGUCCUAAACUUUAUAAGAAGCACCCUAUGCUUUUAGAUAAUAUGACCCGCAGCCCAGGGAGGAAAUAAAUUGGAUAAAUUAAUAUAGAAAAUGAUUUCUAGUAUAGAAAUAAUUCCAAAAUCUUGUUUAAAUCAUAACUAAUCCAUUUUAGCUCAUUUUUUAUCCGUUCUAGUUGGAUUAUGUUCGUACUGAUAUUAACUACAAUUUAGUAACCUUAUUUUGUUAUGCAACAUAUUGUCAAAAUUGAGCACUUAAUUUUUUCACCCAUGUUUAACUUAUCCAAGCACAUAAACUUCGGAAACUCAUAUCUCAUUCGUUAUAACUCCGAUUUUAGGGGUUCUCGAAACUAUGCUCUCGUAGCAUCACGUAGAAUAUUCUUACACUAUUUGUUCUCAUGUUUGGUGUACUAUUUUGUUUAUGUACUCCUUGUCUCUCUGUAUGUAUUGCUACAUCUAGCAGUGAGGUCACGAGUCACCUGAAGACCAAUUUGGUGAAUUACCUGGAAUCGCAAGUAUAAGGCAAGUUAUGCCCUUGAUCACUCUUCUUUACCUAAUAAUGUUCUCUAUUCAUCACUGUGACAUGCUAAGGAUAAAUUGAUGGGACCUAAUAGGUUUCCCUAGUUUUGUUUACCCCACACCUUGUAGACAAAUGAACUAUCGGGUAGACUUGCUAUUGCUCUACCUAGUUUUCGGAUUAAUGUUACAUUUGAAUUAUGAUCAUUUUCCAAUCUUGCUGUUUUUUUAAUCAUUGUUCAUGACAAGAUCAUUGUAUUAAUUGGAACAUGGAGCUUAACUUGAGAUAAUAGUGCUACGAUAAGGGUGGUAUUGGCUGACUAAUUAGGAAAGCUAGUGGAGGACUACCUUAUCCUAAAGGGGCAAGGGCGGUAGGGGAGUUGUCGGUAUAUGGAGGUUCUCGGGUUGAUCAUGCUGCGAUGGCUUUUCAGAUGAGGGAUUCCUAUAAUGCUCUCCUCAGAAACCGUAGCGGUUUUUUUUGAAGCUAGUGGAACUUUGUAAAGGCGUCGUAGUGCUACCCUACCUCAUCUCCUUGGUAGAGAUGAAUGGGAAGUCGCGAUCUUUUGGCAGAUGGGUAACACGACUUGUGGCUAAAGGGUGCAACCUCUGCAAUGUGUAAAACUGGUAUAUCAGUUGCGCUCGUGGUCAAGGGCGACUCAGGACUCUCGCAUGAUUAAUUUAUGGAACUAAACUUAAUCUGUCAUUCACAUUGCAUUGUGGGUGUUAUUGUUAAUUGUGAUAUCUUACUUAAUUGAGUUGGUAUCUACUUAUACUUAGUAACUGCUAAUAAAAGUAUGACCAACAUUAAAAGCAAUGCUCAGCUUUAACAAUCUUCUUUGGUAAGCCUUACACUUCACAUGAGCCCCCACCGUAAGUGAGCUCAUGCACAUUAUUCCCCGCAACUUGUUGAGCAAUGAACGUAUGUGAGCUGUAACGCCCCGAAUUUCGAGUUGAUUUUUUUUCAUUCUUUAUCGCUCGCUAAAUUCGGGCGUUACCUCUCUUUCCUAUUUCUUUUCGCUAGAACCCUACCUAUUUCCAAAACUCCAAGUAGAAUAGUAAUAAAACCUUAGGAGUAUUUUAUUUGGAUUGCUGCACCAUGCUGGUCCCUGCAUAUUUUUAUUUGUGAACUAGGUAUUCUAGUGGUGAACUAGAGCUAAAAUAGGAAAAAGGAAAAAUCUUUUCUUUUCCUCUCUCCUCCCUUCCUCCCCUUUCAGCCCAGCUCCCCCUCCCACUUGUGGGCAGCCCAACCGGCCCCCCCUCCCUUUCCCCCCGCUGCGGGCCUGGCGCGACAGCCCAGCCGGCCUCGGCGGCCCAGCCGGCCUCGGCGGCCUAGCCGCCUCUAGCUGCCUCCCCCGCCUUGGGCCGAAUCGGCGCGCGGCGGCCCAUCCGCCCUCCCCGCGUUCUGCGCGCGACGCGCGCGUGGGCGCAACCGCCGCCGCCGCCAUCCCGGGUGGGCCCCACCCGUCAGCCGUUUCUUUUUCUUUCUUCUCUUCUUUUUCUUUUUCCUUCUUUCUUUCCCCUAGCACGACGCGUCUUCCCCGCCCGGCUCGCCCGUCGUUCGGAACCGCUGCCCGCCGCCGCCACCGAUCCCCGCCUGCGGUGAGCCUCUCCCUCCCCUCUCCCCUUCCUUUCCCCCUCCCUCCCCGUUCCCCGAGCUCGUCGGCGCCCUCCCCGCGCCGUGGGCGGCGCUCGCCCCCGACCCCGUGUUCGCCAGCCAUGGCGGCCUGGCGGCCCAGUGCCCCGUCCUGGCCCCGUCCCGGCGCCCCGUCCUGGCCCCGGCCGCCCCUCCCCUCAGCUCGGCCAGCCAUGGCGGCUCGGCAUCCUCGCGCGGUGCGGCGAACUCCGCCCCGCCCGCGCGCGCUCGUCCGUCGGCCUCGCCGGCCCGUGCUCGGCACAGUGGCGCUCGGCCCGGCUUCGCCGGCCCCGGCGCCCUCCCGCGGCGCAGCGGGUCCUGCCCCGUCCGCCCCUCCCCUCGGCGCGCCGGCGCAGCAGCUCGCGCGGCCAUGGCGCGGCUGUGGCGUGCGGCCCGGCGUCGGCCCCCGCUCGGCGCGCGCGGCGGUCCCACCCCGGCCUUCUCUGCCUGCGGUGCUCGCCCCCAGCCCCUGCGCGGCCUCGGCAGCCUCGCGCAGCCCUGGUCCCGGCGUGGCCUCGGCGUGCGCGCGGAGCCCCGGCGCGGCCCGUGCACGCACGGUGCCCCCGGCGAGCUCGCCGCACCCACGGCUCGCGGCCAUGGCGGCUCGGUCCCGCCCGCAUUGGCGUGUCCCGCCCCUGCGCAGCGCGGCCCCGGCCCGGCGCAGCUUCAGCUCGCGCGGCCGUGGUGCCCCUGCGUAGCGCGUGCGCGGUUCGGCCCCGGCGUGUGCGCGACUCGUUCGCGACACGUCAGCGCGGCCUUGCGCGUACGUGCUCGCGUGGUGCACGGUGCGUUUGCGUGGCUCGUCGUGCCCGCGACGCAACGCAUAACGCCCUGUCGAAUCCGCGACACGAUCGUCUACCCCGAGCCACCCGUCUACCCCCCCGUGCAUUCCGUGCGUAGUGAUCGUGUGAUGUAAUCAAUAAAUGGGAACCCAAAUUAGAAAUCGGUUACGUUAGUUAAUUCAUGUAAGUAAUCAUCUACCUCACCUAAUGUCGAUCAACUGGAGUUAGUCAUGAUUCGAAUUAUGCAUGUAGCUAAUCCGUUUGUUAGAACCAAUUGGAAUUAAGUAGAACUAAGGUACGUAGCGUCUAAUUAUUCACCAACCCGUAGCGCGUCUUGGGCAUAAGCUUUAACUCUCGCGAGACCUUUCCCCGCCUCUUUCUAACCAUGGUAAAUUCAUUACUGUAUGCGAUAUUCUAUGCAUGUUUCAUCUACUGGUUCUCUUGUAUGGUGUAUUGUUGGUUUCCUAAUUUCAAUGGAUGAAUGUAUGUAUGUAUGUGUGCACUCGCAUAGAGAACGAUCCGGUUGAAGAGCCCGAGGAACUCGCAGGAGAAGCCCCUGAGCAGCAGUCAGUUGGUGGAGGCAAGUGUCCCUUGACCUAUCUCUGUCCUAUUCAUUAUUUAAUUCACCUCCCGCAUUACACAUCUAUACCUAAGGAUUGACUAGCUUUUGUUGUCCAUGUCCUUGUUUACCUAUCUGGGUUGGAUUAUUAUUAUUAUUAUUUAGCUUUAUGUUAUUGCUCAACUCUAAUCAAUGAACAUGAUGAGAUUAUCUAUGAUAUGCUGUUUUCCCUUCUCUUAUUAUGAUGUGGUACUUGUGGUAUUCAAGGGGGCUCGAGCGGUUUCUCGAGUGCCUCUCCGUAAGGACCUGUUCUAUGGAUGACCGCCUAGGAAAACAGUGCAACCAUGAGGGUGGAAUGGGGUGCCCUUAGCUGAAUAAUUAGAGGAUCCGGGGUGUAGUUCGCUUCGCCGUCGUGCCGUCAAUGGGGCUCGGUGUAUGCGGCUCGCUCUGCCAAGGUUGAUUUGUCCCUUGGGGAGGAGUGCGGUACAUUUAGGAAACCUAACGGGCGGCUACAGCCCCGGGGAAUCUUUGUAAAGGCUACGUAGUGAGACCCUGCCUACUCACCUUGGGAGUGUUCAAGGGUCCGUACAACCCGAGGCAGAAAGGGAAUCACAGCUUGUGGGUAAAGUGCACAACCUCUGCAGAGUGUUUGAAAACUGAUAUAUCAGCCGUGCUCGCGGUUAUGAGCGGCCAAGGGAGCUCCAGUGAUUAGUGGUACUGGAUCAGAGAUACUUUGGUACAGGUGGCAAUGAGACUAAUGGUUCUGGUUAUGAACAUGGUGCUGGUAAGUGGUAUUCUUUCCGUUUCGAAAGGGUACAUCGGGCUAAUAACUUGGGUUAAUGCUAAAACCUGGCUUUCUAUUAGUAAAUAAUAAUCUGACCAACUAAAGCAACUGCUUGACUUAUCCCCACAUACAGCUAGUCCACUACAGCCAAAUAGGAUACUUGCUGAGUAUGUUGAUGUGUACUCACCCUUGCUGUACACACCAAAUCCCCCCCAUCCCCAGGUUGUCAGCAUUGCAACCACUGCUCAGGCGAAGAUGAAGCUGUGGAAGGAGACUUCCAGGAGUUCCAAGACUACGACGAGUUCUAGGUGUGGGUUAGCGGCAACCCCAGUCGGCUGCCUGUGAAGGCCGCGGUUAUCUACGUUUCUUUUCCGCACUUUGAUUU